rnacentral:lncRNA from 1 species
GGGAGCAGUUGUGCAGCCCCAGUGCAGCCACAUCAUGGGGCCAUCGCUGUCCUGUAAUCAGCAUCCAUGGCCAAGGUCCCACGCGAGGCAGAGAGAAAAGCUUCUCUGCCCGGGGUGACAUAUGGAAUGGGACCUUGAAUGGAAGUUGCUCUUUGUCAAGGCAGCCAGUGCCUGGCAGUGCGGAUCUGCAUGAACGCAGCCUCCAAACAAGAGAUAUCCAGGAGAACUCUGUUGCCACCCCAGUAAAUAACAAGCCAGCUUUUUAUCAUUUUAAGUGUCUUGUUUCUCAUCUGGAGGUAUGCAAAAUUCAAAAAGGGCAAUAAAGAUCAAGCUCUUCACUUUUCCUUACAUGGGCUUUGCCAUGUGAAU